AAGCCACACUACUGACUUUCUGUGCUUCAUUAUAUCAUUUCCCUGCUUGGCCUGCUCCUUGAGGUAAUUUACUCUUUCUUAUUCUUUCAAAUCAGUAUUCCUAUAUCGCAUUGCUGUCAGGUUAGCGUAGAAAACACUUCCAUUUGGGUGCUACAAGGCUUUUCACUCAACAAUUAAAAUACACUCCAGGAAUAUUAAUUAAAUCCAAAAGCACCCAGAUGACAUCAGUAAGUAGCACACAGAGAUCAAUCUCACCCUGGACAUCUCUUUAAUUGAGCUUAGCAAUACUACAUAAUGACUUAAGAUAGAAAGUAAAGAAAUCAUGAGCUCACUUGAAGCCACAUGAGAUUUAUCUGCAAACCUCCUAUUUAUUAAAGGAACACCAGUUUUGACAGUUUAGAAGGAAUCCUAUGAGGCUAUUUCCCUAUCUGGUAGUGUGUCUAAGUGCAGCAGUAAACACCGUAUCUGUGGUUUGAUAGUCUCACAGAGCACUCAGAGGAAGACAAGCUGUGUUCCUGACCAGCCUGUGCAGUCCAAGGAGAGCAGCAGUUCCAGGCUGCUCGCUAAUUUUUUUGCAGAGAGGUUGGUAGAGAUCGUUUGGUGCUUUUGCAAUGAGAAGUAGAAGAAAACUAGAAAAAUUACAAGCAACUAGCUAACCAAGGAGCUGGUAGAUAGGCAUGCUGCUGAGUAUGUUUGCAUUUAACUAGCAUUGCUGUUUCCAUUAGAAAACAAAUGUGUUUAUCAGACAGGUCAAGGAUUGGUACAAUGAAGAUUGGAUUGACAUUUUUGUCAACAAUAAAUUAAAAUGUUCUGUUUUUUGCAGCUGCCAGCUUGUCAUACUUUACAGAGGAAGAUAAUAAAAGCCAUACUUUCUCAGAGUAAAUGUCCAUCUGGCUCAGCAUCCUGUCUCUGGGCGGUGGCCAAGACAGGAUGCCCAGGGGUGAGUGUACGAACAAGGAAAAUCAACAGUGAUUCUUCCUCAGAGUACAACUCCAGCCUUGGUUGCCAGUGACUGGAUAAUUUCCAGGCUAAGUGUCUCAGUGUGUUUUCUAAGACUGAGUCCUAUUUGAUAUUCUAGGGGAAGAAAUGGGCAUUUGGCUUUGCAGAUGCUGAUGAGCGUCUGUUAGUGAUGUUGUUUUGCUACCUCACCAAAAGCCUGUUUAACUCAAAGACAGCAGCAGUUCUCAUCUGUUCUCCACCUUGUCACUUCCCACAUGUGAUGAACGUCUUCCUGUUCAAGUACUGGCUACACUGGCAAAUUUCUCUAUGUCUUCUCUUGCCACCUCGUGCCUCUCCCCUUUCUUAUCCUCUCCUCAGGCACAGUUGGAUCAAUUCUUUGCUGCAUACGCUCCAGGCUGGCUGUAGUGAGUGAGGAGAGAGCACGAGGCCUGCUGUCCUCAUGGUAUCUUUAGCAAGAACAGGAACGGGUCCCACAGGAGCCUCUGCCAGGCCUGCUGAUCUCCCUAGGGCUGGAGAACCAGAGCUACCUGUGAAAAUUAUCCAGGGAAUUGCCUCCAUGUUUAUAGGUAGACCUCCCAGCACAGCUUUCCUGGAAAGCUCUUGACUACAUCAGGUCUAUGUAGGAAGCCUGAGCCAGCUUGAUCCAGUUGAUUAUAGUAAUUAUCCCCCAAGAUUAGAGGCAAUGGAAACCUGUAGUGCAGGUGAGAAAAUAUGAAGUAACCCAUCUGGAAGGCAUAUCCUUUUGUGUGCUUUGAAAUUAACCCCGUGUUACUGUUUCCAUGGAAACACAGAGGCAGCAUCACAACAGGUAGCUGUAGAGCCGGCAGGCUGGCGACGCUCUGAGUGCAGGCCGCUCAACUACCCCAAACUAGCAGGUGUGAUAUUGUGUGACUUACAAAUAGUGAAACUGAAAAGUUGGUUCAGCUUGCAGAUGGAGUGGAAGAGCACGUACCUGCAGUGGGAGAAUGCAGAAGGCAGAAAAAUUCUCAGCUGUGGUGUUAAUAGAUGAGCUGCAUCAGACAUCCAAGGAAGAGAUCACACGUCUAGAAAGCAGCAGAGGAGAGGCUGAGCCUGGGGUCCUGGUGACCUUCAGGCACCUGGAAAAGGCCGGGGCUGGGUUGUUACUCCCAGCUCACAAGUUAGGAAAACAGAGAAGUCCCUGGCGGAGCAGCUUCUGGAGUGUAACUCACCGGUGAACUGCAGCUCUUUCCUGCCUGCAAUCACAUCCCUAAAGUGACAUAUCUCCUGUUUCUCUUGGCUGGGCAGAGUCUGGCAGGUAGCUAGGCUAGGCUGGCUGCUCUUGCCAAAGAGCUGGCUGUGGAGCCACUGCGUUCUUUCUUUCAAGCACUUGAAUCUGGCUAUUGCCUUAUUAGCGAAUGUCCAUGAAUACAUAGCCUCUCAAUCUUAUAAAAAUUAAAACAAAAAGUUGCCACUGAGUA